GAUGAACGCUGGCGGCGUGCCUAAUACAUGCAAGUCGAGCGAACGGACGAGAAGCUUGCUUCUCUGAUGUUAGCGGCGGACGGGUGAGUAACACGUGGAUAACCUACCUAUAAGACUGGGAUAACUUCGGGAAACCGGAGCUAAUACCGGAUAAUAUUUUGAACCGCAUGGUUCAAAAGUGAAAGACGGUCUUGCUGUCACUUAUAGAUGGAUCCGCGCUGCAUUAGCUAGUUGGUAAGGUAACGGCUUACCAAGGCAACGAUGCAUAGCCGACCUGAGAGGGUGAUCGGCCACCCGGGAGCUGGGACACGCGCCAGACUCCUACGGGAGGCACCAGUCGGGAACCUUCCGCAGUGGGCGGAAGCCUGACGGAGCAACGCCGCGUGAGUGAUGAAGGUCUUCGGAGCGUAAAACUCUGUUAUUAGGGAAGAACAUAUGUGUAAGGAACCGUGCACAUCUUGACGGUACCUAAUCAAAAAGCCACGGCUAACUACGUG
rnacentral:rRNA from 1 species